CAUCACUCCAUGGAAAUAAAAAGGAGGCAUUACUUUCGGAGCAAGCUACGCACAUCUGUUCACACACAUUUAAGAUUAAAAAGGAGAGGUGGCACCAUUUUAUAAACAUAUUUUGUAGCAUCUUCAGAAGCAAUAUGAAAUCCAUUUUGUGCACUAGCCUAAAUAUCAAGAAAUUUAUCCCUUGGUUUUAAGGCCUGCCAUUAAACAAUUUGGCCAUGUGUUUAAUAGAUGCAUUUUCCUUGUUCUUUCCUAUGUUCUUUCAGACACAGACUGCCUGUAGCUCAGGUCUGUUGCAAGAGGCUAAGAAACGUUUGAAUGCAUCGUGUUGGUUGGUUGGUUGGUUUGUUUUCAGAAGACAUCUCCAAAAAUAUUAAUUCACAACGUCUUUGUAAACAACAAAUUUAAACUUGACACUGGCUGAGAAAUAAAUACAUAAUGUUCUACCCCUUUGUAAUCUAUCACUGUUCCUAAUACCUCUCUCUCAUAAACAACAUUUAUUUAUAAAGGCCGUAGUGUGGCACAUUUCCAUUGUGGAGUUCUUUGAAGAGACACGACCAGAGAUGAGUUUGUAAGCACCCUCUCGUGGCAGUGAGCUCCUAUAAGUGGUAUUAGGAAAGCCAAAGCAUCACGAGAAGUUCCAUUUUCUUUUUUUUAACUUCCAUAAAUUCAUUUAGCUGGUAUUUCUCUGACCCAUCUCAUUGUGGAAUCACAUCAGACUCAAACCUUGUUAAAGAAAGAGCUCAAGAAGAGAUCUGGCCACCUGUGGUCAAUCAGCCACUGAAAGCAAAGUUUUAACUACUACAGAGAUCAUCUUGAUGAAGAAAAACUCCUUUGGAUGAAAACUCUUCCUUGCAGAGGCCCUAUACUCAACAAAAAGAGCAACUGCGCGCCCUUCCUGGGAUACUGGGAUCCUGACUCUCUACUAGAGGUGGAGGACUGUAUGCACAAUACACACAGAAGUAUCACACUACUUCUUCACCUUGUGAUCUAAAGAAGCUGCAAGAGCAGUAAGACCAAUCUCUUAAUUGACUGUUUGACAUUAAGUUUAAUAACAUCAAUGGCCGUACUGAUCUUGGAACUGACUGAAUGGUCCAGGAAGCUGCAGUAAACAUUCCCUCUCAGUGGAAACAAAAAGAAGGGAGAAGGUCAGCUGCCCUUCCACCACAGAACAAGGGGCAGAACAAGGAGGACACUUCCCAUCAGCUCAGCACUGUGUUAGGUCACAGAAGCUGUCAGGGCCAAUCUGUUGCAUCCAAGUAAAAAGGCUGCAAGCUUGGGGAACUGAACGUGUUUUUCUGCUAAAGAUAUAACAAAGGUCUACCAACAACAACAGGGAUUCCUAAACAGUAAAAGAGGAACUUCGGUAGAAACUGAUUUGGUUGCUUGGAGACAAGCCCAUUGAGCCAGCACUGAGAUGGCCUGUCAACACAAUUUUCUUCAUUUUUGUGGUUCCCAACUCCACAGCACUGGACUUAGCUAAGAAGUGAAAACCGAGAAACAGAUUACCUUGAAGAAAUAUUGUAAAGGUGAUUCCAUGAAAAUUUGGGCAAUUCUUCCUAUUUCAUAAAGAUGAAGACCAUGAUAAAGAAACUCUCCAACAACUGGAUAAGUGCAGGAUGGUUAGCAGUAAACAGGAAUAAUGAGUAUAAAAAGAAAAGGAGUAUUUAUGCAUCUAAAAGGGAGGCAGCAUGUGUUGGUGUAACUAAAUAUUCUAUUAUAAAUCUGGCAUUUAGUUAUUAGUGAUGGAUGACAUCUUAAAUGAAAAAAAUUCAGCCAU
rnacentral:lncRNA from 7 species